rnacentral:rRNA from 1 species
GUGAGGAAUAUUGGUCAAUGGGCGAAAGCCUGAACCAGCCAUGUCGCGUGAAGGAUGAAGGUCCUAUGGAUUGUAAACUUCUUUUGCAGGAGGGUAAAGUGAGCUACGUGUAGUUCAUUGCAAGUACCCUGCGAAUAAGCAUCGGCUAACUCCGUGCCAGCAGCCGCGGUAAUACGGAGGAUGCGAGCGUUAUCCGGAUUUAUUGGGUUUAAAGGGUGCGUAGGUGGACUAAUUAGUCAGCGGUGAAAUUUUGCGGCUCAACCGUAAAACUGCCGUUGAAACUGUUAGUCUUGAGUGCGGUAGAGGUAGGCGGAAUGUGUGGUGUAGCGGUGAAAUGCUUAGAUAUCACACAGAACACCGAUUGCGUAGGCAGCUUACUGGAGCGCAACUGACGCUGAGGCACGAAAGCGUGGGGAUCGAACAGGAUUAGAUACCCCAGUAGUCC